rnacentral:hammerhead_ribozyme from 15 species
CAUCGGACUGCGCUGCACUGAUGAGCCCCAAAAGGGCGAAACCGAUC